GAUGAACGCUGGCGGCGUGCCUAACACAUGCAAGUCGAACGGAAAGACCCUGCUUUUGUGGGGUUCUCGAGUGGCGAACGGGUGAGUAACACAUGAGUAAACUGCCCUUGACUUUGGGAUAACUUCAGGAAACUGGGUCUAUUACCCGAUAGGAGCUCCUGCGGCAUGGUGGGGGUUGGAAAGUUUCGGCGGUUGGGUAGUGACUCGCGGCUUAUCAGCUUGUUGGUGGGGUAGUGGCUUACCAAGGCUUUGACGGGUAGCCCGCCUGAGAGGGUGACCGGCGACACUGGGACUGAGGGAAGGCAGAGGUGGGUACGGGUGGAAACAGGGGGAAAGCUUGAACAAGGAGUGGAGGGGGGGUGAAGAAGCGCCUCGGGUGGGAAAGCGGCUUUGUGGGGAAAAACAGCUUUGGCUUUAAAAGAGUCGGGAGUGAAGGUAACGGGUAAAAAAGCAACGGCUAACUACGUG
rnacentral:rRNA from 1 species